AGUAACACGUGGAUAACCUACCUAUAAGACUGGGAUAACUUCGGGAAACCGGAGCUAAUACCGGAUAAUAUUUUGAACCGCAUGGUUCAAAAGUGAAAGACGGUCUUGCUGUCACUUAUAGAUGGAUCCGCGCUGCAUUAGCUAGUUGGUAAGGUAACGGCUUACCAAGGCAACGAUGCAUAGCCGACCUGAGAGGGUGAUCGGCCACACUGGAACUGAGACACGGUCCAGACUCCUACGGGAGGCAGCAGUAGGGAAUCUUCCGCAAUGGGCGAAAGCCUGACGGAGCAACGCCGCGUGAGUGAUGAAGGUCUUCGGAUCGUAAAACUCUGUUAUUAGGGAAGAACAUAUGUGUAAGUAACUGUGCACAUCUUGACGGUACCUAAUCAGAAAGCCACGGCUAACUACGUGCCAGCAGCCGCGGUAAUACGUAGGUGGCAAGCGUUAUCCGGAAUUAUUGGGCGUAAAGCGCGCGUAGGCGGUUUUUUAAGUCUGAUGUGAAAGCCCACGGCUCAACCGUGGAGGGUCAUUGGAAACUGGAAAACUUGAGUGCAGAAGAGGAAAGUGGAAUUCCAUGUGUAGCGGUGAAAUGCGCAGAGAUAUGGAGGAACACCAGUGGCGAAGGCGACUUUCUGGUCUGUAACUGACGCUGAUGUGCGAAAGCGUGGGGAUCAAACAGGAUUAGAUACCCUGGUAGUCCACGCCGUAAACGAUGAGUGCUAAGUGUUAGGGGGUUUCCGCCCCUUAGUGCUGCAGCUAACGCAUUAAGCACUCCGCCUGGGGAGUACGACCGCAAGGUUGAAACUCAAAGGAAUUGACGGG
rnacentral:rRNA from 1 species